UGGGGGAAUAUUGGACAAUGGGCGAAAGCCUGAUCCAGCAACGCCGCGUGAGGGAUGACGGCCUUCGGGUUGUAAACCUCUUUCAGUAGGGACGAAGCGCAAGUGACGGUACCUACAGAAGAAGCACCGGCCAACUACGUGCCAGCAGCCGCGGUAAUACGUAGGGUGCGAGCGUUGUCCGGAAUUAUUGGGCGUAAAGGGCUCGUAGGCGGUUUGUCACGUCGGGAGUGAAAACUCGGGGCUUAACCCCGAGCCUGCUUCCGAUACGGGCUGACUAGAGGUAUGCAGGGGAGAACGGAAUUCCUGGUGUAGCGGUGAAAUGCGCAGAUAUCAGGAGGAACACCGGUGGCGAAGGCGGUUCUCUGGGCAUUACCCUGACGCUGAGGAGCGAAAGUGUGGGGGAGCGAACAGGAUUAGAUACCCUGGUAGUCCACACCGUAAACGUUGGGCGCUAGGUGUGGGGACUCGAUUCCACGAGUUCCGUGCCGCAGCUAACGCAUUAAGCGCCCCCGCU
rnacentral:rRNA from 1 species